rnacentral:rRNA from 1 species
UACGUAGGUGGCAAGCGUUGUCCGGAAUUAUUGGGCGUAAAGCGCGCGCAGGCGGUUUCUUAAGUUGGGUGUGAAAGCCCUCGGCUCAACCGAGGAGGGUCACUCAAAACUGGGAGACUGGAGUGCAGAAGAGGAGAGUGGAAUUCCAUGUGUAGCGGUGAAAUGCGUAGAUAUAUGGAGGAACACCAGUGGCGAAGGCGGCUCUCUGGUCUGUAACUGACGCUGAGGCGCGAAAGCGUGGGGAGCAAAC